AUGGAAUCAUCCUGAAAAUAUCUUGACUUGUGUUUUUAUAAUAAGAGGAGAGGACAAGAGAGAUCCAUAGGGAAGAAGGUGAUAUGAUGAUAGUGGCAAGAUUGGAAUGAUGAGUCUGCAAGUCAAGGACACCAAGGAUUGCCGGCAAUCACCAGAAUCUAGGAGACAGGCCCAGACGCUUUCUUUCUUGGAGCUUCCAGAAGAACCAACCCUGCUCACAACUUGAGUUCAGACUUUUGGCUUCCCAAACCAUGAGGGAGUAAAUUAUUUUUAUUUUUUGUAGAGACAGAGUCUUGCUGUGUUGCCCAGGCUGAUCUUGAAUUCCUGGCCUCAAGUGGUCCUCCUGCCUCGGCCUCCCAAAGCCCUCGGAUUAUAGGAGUGAAUCACUGUAUCCAGCCAAGAGGGAGUAAACUGAAGCUGCUCAGUUUGUGGCCAUUUGCAUGGCAGCUCUAUGAAACUAGUACAGUCCCUGACCAGCUGGCCAUGCAUUGGUCACUGUCCUGCCAAUUGACAGAUGUUCGUUUCUUGAACUGGCUCUGUCCUUGCAACUUCAGGAUGCCGGGUGAGUGGACACGGUGUGGAGUAAAGUAUUCCUGGAAGCCAAUCCUGCCCUGGGACAGUUAGCAACGACUUCACUACACGCGGAAACGACUACGAACCCAUAAAUAUAUCCCACUAAACUCAAACUGAAAAUGUCCCCAUGUCACCUUUUACUUUUGCUGUUUUCCAAAAUUGCCUGUGGCUACUCUACCAUUUAUGGGCAUAGGGGAGGUAAGAGUGAAAAGAGACAGAGGUGUGAAUUGGUUGUGGCUAAAAUAGCCUGCUUUUAAAGAUCUCAUAAAAACAUGACUAUCUGAAUAUAUUGCUAGGACCCUCCCAGAGUUCUGGAAGGGACUGUACAAGCUGGGGCAGGGGGUGCUCUGCACCUAUGCCAUGUAUGCUUACUGUUCCAUUUUUGGAACGCUAAGCUUGUGGGAGUUACUUGCAUCCUACUGCUCAAGGUCAUCACCAAGGUCUGAUUUUUCACACACAAAAAUUGCAUCUUCUGGUAUAGAUUGGUUACAGUUCAUUAUCUUUAUGAAAAUCUGACUCUGGUGAAAUGUCUAGGAGCUCUGUUGUCCCCAUACUAUGAGUGGUUAUUUAAGGUUUCUCUCUAGUACAAUGGUUCCCCAAAGCAUGUCUUGAAAUUAGUCCAUAAUGAUUUCAAUAAUGGAAGAAAAAUAAAAUGAAAAAGAUAAGGACAAUGUGAUACAUAUGUGUCACAUGGGUUGUCAACUGUUCCUUCUUGUGAGGGACUGUCAUUUCUGAAGGAGAGAAACCCUUUCUAUUAAUUUGGUGUCAACAUAUCCUUCCUUAUUUGGAAUAGUGAUACCAAUGGAAAGUAAAGUGUCAAGCUUGCAACCUUAUGCUGGUCUCUCCCUCUUCUGCUUUUGCUGUCAGAGUCCUUUUGGGCUGCUAUGGCAAAGUACCAUAGACUAGGUGGCUUCUAAAGAACAGACAUUUCUUUCUUUUAAAAAAGUUUAAAUUUAUUUUAUUUUUAUUUUUUACUUCCAUAGGCUUUUGGGCAACAGGUGGUGUUCAGUUUCAUGAGUAAAUACUUUAGUGGUGAUUUUUGAGAUUUUGGUGUACCCAUCACCCGAGCAGUGUACACUGUACCCAAUUUGUAGUCUUGUAUCCCUCAUCCUCCUCCCACUCUUCCCCAGAGUCCCCAAAGUCCAUUGUAUUAUUCUAAUACCUUUGCAUCCUCAUAGCUUAGCUCCCACUUAUGAGUAAGAACAUACAAUGUUUGGUUUUCCAUUCCUGAGUUACUUCACUUAGAAUAAUGGUCUCCAAUCCAUCCAGGUCACUGUGAAUGCCAUUAUUUCAAUUACAGACAUUUAUUUCUCAUAGUUCUGGAGAAGUCCCAAAUCAAGGUGUCAGCACUGUUGGGUUCUGGUGAGGGCCCUUUUCCCAGGUUGUGAACUUCUAGUUGUAUUCUAAUGUGGUGGAAAGAGAGGAUAAGCGAGAUCUCCAGGGUCCCUUUUAUAAGGACACUAAUCCCAUUCAUGAAGCUUCCACUCCUAUGACCUAAUCACCUCCCAAAGGUCCCACCUCCAAAUACCACCACAUUGGUGGUUAGGUUUGCAACAGAGGAAUUUUAGGGGAACAAAUAUUCAGGCCCUAACAAGGGAGAGAGAGAAAAUGGAAGACUGCAUGGAACAACAGACCUAGAAGGGUAUUUAUUUAUUUAUUUAUUUACUUACUUACUUACUUAUUUUUGAGACAGAAUCUCUCUCUGUUACCCAGACUGGAGUGCAGCGGGUGAUCUUGGCUCACAGGAACCUCUACCUUUAGGGUUCAAGCAAUUCUCUGCCUCAGCCUCCCCAGUAGCUGGGAUUACAGACGCCUGCCACCAUGCCCAGUUAAUUUUUUUAUAUUUUUAGUAGAGACAGGGUUUCACCAUCUUGGCCAGGCUGGUCUUGAAUUCCUGACCUAGUGAUCCACCCACCAGGGCCUCUCAAAGUGCUGAGAUUACAGGUGUGAGCCACUGCGCCCGGCCUGUGCAUUUAUCUCUUUUGCCUACAGUCUUUGAUCAGAACUCAGCCCCAUUGUUCCACCCUAGUUGUGUGAACAGCUGGGACAUGUGUUCCCAGCAGGAGAAUGCAUUGGUAAACCACAGCAUUACCUCUACCAUGUGGACUUUUUCUGGAUCCUAAUAAUGUUUUAAGCAGUAGGAAUAGAAUAUGAUUAUUAUUUUAGGCCUCUAGUCUGUUUCAUUACCUUUUAUCAUAUAAAGUGACAACCUCAAUACCUAAAUUUAGUAUUUGCUUUGUAUUGUUGUAUAACAAACUUUCACAGAUGUACAUCACCACCUAAUUGUGAUCUCAUAGUUCUGUACAUCAGAAGACUGACAUGGCAUGGCUGUAUUCUCUGCUUGGAGUCUUACAGCCAAAAUCAAGAUGUUGGCAG
ensembl:lncRNA